UGAGGAACAUGACCUUCGGCGGGGGAUAGCCGGCCCAACGGCCGGGUAAUACCGCGUACGACCACUUUGGGACAUCCCUCGGUGGUGAAAGCAGCAAUGCGCCGAUGGAAUGCCUCGCGGCCUAUCAGCUAGUUGGUGAGGUAACGGCUCACCAAGGCGACGACGGGUAGCUGGUCUGAGAGGAUGAUCAGCCACACUGGGACUGAGACCACGGCCCAGACUCCGUAGGACGG
rnacentral:rRNA from 1 species